rnacentral:rRNA from 1 species
CCUACGGGUCGCAGCAGUAGGGAAUAUUGCUCAAUGGGGGAAACCCUGAAGCAGCAACGCCGCGUGGAGGAUGAAGGUUUUCGGAUUGUAAACUCCUUUUGUUAGAGAAGAUAAUGACGGUAUCUAACGAAUAAGAACAGGAUAACUCCGGGCCAGCAGCCGCGAUAAGACGGAGGGUGCAAGCGUUACGCGGAAUCACUGGGCGUAAAGGGCGCGUAGGCGGGAUAGCAAGUCAGAUGUGAAAUCCUAUGGCUUAACCAUAGAACUGCAUUUGAAACUGUUAUUCUAGAGUAUGGGAGAGGUAGGUGGAAUUCUUGGUGUAGGGGUAAAAUCCGUAGAGAUCAAGAGGAAUACUCAUUGCGAAGGCGACCUGCUAGAACAUAACUGACGCUGAUGCGCGAAAGCGUGGGGAGCAAACAGGAUUAGAUACCCUAGUAGUC